AGAAUCUCCAUGAGUCUGUGGUCUAGAGUCAGGCAGUGACUAGUGGUUGUGUGAGCUCCAGAAUACUUUGCUUCGUCUUGUGGGAUGUUAUUUUCUAACAGCUAUUGACAAUUUUCAUUUCCGCGUGGCAGGGUCCAUGUGGUCAAAAGAACUUGACCUAAGCCUUAUAAAAUCACCAAUGUGAUGUUUUUAUUUGGAAGCAUGUUUUGCUGAGGCCAUCAGAGUGGAACUGAGAGUUUAGUGGGCUGUGGUUCAAGGAACCACACUUACAUGAUGGUUUACAAGCAACUCAGCCUUCUCUGAAGGACGGCCUGAUUUAGCCAUAAGCGAAGAGUCUGGGCUCUGGAAGUUCAGUCUGAACAAAGACUGAGAUAGGAAUGCCUAGGGCAUUUUUUGGGUCUCCAUCUCCUCACCUGUGAAGUCAUAUGGACAAUAAUUAGUAAACAGGAGCACUGAAAGGAUUGGCAUUUUUGAAAUGUUAAAUGUUGUUUUCUUCAGCUCCAGCAACAACUGUUUCUUGUGACUUUCUGUGGGACUCUGAGGAAUGUUGGGAUGAUAAUCACAGGAACCAAUGGCUGCCUCUGGAAAGCCCAUAAUUCUGCACAUUCAUGGAGCUUCACUCUGAUUCCAAAUCCAGAAAGACCACCAUGUCACUUAUGGAGACACUUGAAAUCCUUUCCACAUCUUCACUCAUCACGCCUGGGGUGAGAACUAGGAAUACGUGAAUAAACCAAUAACACGUUACUGAAGUCAGUUUCGAGUUUUGCCUGCUAUGAACUUAGAAACAACUCCAUUUCUCUCAGCACUAGAUGGCCUGUUCAGAGUGUAUGUGUGUGUGUGUGUGUGUCCUCAUGUGUGCAGAGACAGAAAGAGACAGAGGGAGAGAACGCAAUAUUUAGUUUUGAAGAUAUUACACUUAUAAUUAUGCUUUCAGAAGCCUGUUUCUGGGAGUACCACAGAACAAUGCAGUUAGGUUACCCAAGGAAUAAAAUCAUUAAAUAGGGCCGUCCUCUGGUUUUUCCUCCAAACCACUGUCUGUGUGUUGUUCAGGGGAAAGAAUCUCAGCUUAUUCACAAGUGGCACUAUCUUUCCACAGGAUGUUCAUUGUUUUGAAACUAGAAGAAAACCUCAACAGCUCUGAAGUAUAUAAUUAUGCUUUCUUAUUACCCAACAAGAAUGUUCUCGGGAGUGUUGUUGCGAUGACUCGCUUGCGAGUGAUCUGACGGAAGGAAGGGCGGCUGAGGAGGAGAGGAGGAGGGAGCAGAGCUUGCCUUCCAUGCCACUUACUUUGUUGUCUGACAGCUCUCACAGAUUUGUGGCUUGUCCUCAAGUAGACA
rnacentral:lncRNA from 1 species